rnacentral:rRNA from 1 species
CGCAUCUGUGCAUGCAGCAUAUCAAUAAGCGGAGGAAAAGAAACUAACAAGGAUUCCCCUAGUAACGGCGAGUGAAGCGGGAAGAGCUCAAAUUUGAAAUCUUAAAGGGUUUCCCUUUACGAAUUGUAGUUUAAAGAAGUGUUUUCUGUUGAGGUUUUGGUAAAAGUUCUUUGGAAUAGGACAUCAUAGAGGGUGAGAAUCCCGUAUUUGACCUUUACUUUCAACUUUGUGAUACACUUUCAAAGAGUCGGAUUGUUUGGGAAUGCAGUCCAAAAUGGGUGGUAAAUUUCAUCUAAAGCUAAAUAUUGGCGAGAGACCGAUAGCGAACAAGUACCGUGAGGGAAAGAUGAAAAGAACUUUGAAAAGAGAGUUAAACAGUACGUGAAAUUGUCAAAAGGGAAGCGUUUGACACCAGUGUUGUUUUUCUGAAAAUCAAUUAAAGAACUGUUUAUGCUAAGUUGUUUAGACUUUAUCAGCUAACUGUUUAGUUUUGAGCUUUUCUUUAAUGCACUUUUCAGUUAACAAGUCAACAUCAAUUUCUUUUGCUGUGAAAAAAGCUUGAGGAAGGUGGCUUGAGAUUCGUCUUAAGUGUUUAUAGCCUCUUGCCUAUGCAGUCGGAGAGAUUGAGGUCUGCAGCGUAGAUCCUUCGGGGCUAAAUGCAUUUGUGCUAAGUUAUAAGCAUUUUAUAGACAACUUGUUGACUAUGAUUUGUCUUGUAGCUUACUCGCUUAUGUUAUUUUACCUACGCUUAGGAUGUUGAACGCGCACAGAGUCUC